GUUCCUGUAGUUAAAUUAAAUAACGAUGGUUUUUCAGGCCGUAGAUCUUGGGUAAAGACCGAGUAGGAACU
rnacentral:tRNA from 1 species